GCGGCGGGUGCCAUGCGCCGGCAGCCGCACGGUCUCAGCGCCCGCCCACCCGCCCGCCCUCCGCGGUCACGCCUCGGACGCCCAGCACCUGCCCCGCAGGUUUCUUAAGCCUUCUUGAUUAGUCCAUUUGUGUGUGUGUGUGGACAACAGUGAUCCAGUACCCAGGAAAAGAGAUAUUCUCAAAGA